GAAGAUUCUGUCAUGUUCUGAUGUGAGCGGGAUUCCGACAAGGCCCCAAAUGACUGGGUGCUGACAGAUGCCAAAGGUCUAAGUAAAGGGUGCCCAUCAAACGGUUCUAGUUACCAUUAGAGGAGGUAAUCUGGUGGAUAAAGGCCUCAGUCUUCUUCAGAGGGAUGAUUCUGAAGCACAUGGCUCCUCAGAGGGACUCUGGGGGAUGGAGACCCUGCCGUCCACAGAGUGUUUGGUACAAAUCGCCCCCUGAUAAAACUGGCUGGAUAGGAAUACUACUCAUGACCUGGUGUACUGGGAGGAGGCUGAUCUCUAAUAGCACCGCGUGCUUCUGUCACACCAGAUGAGCUGUGUGCCUGAAGAGAGGCCCCUAGAAGAUCAAGAUUUGCAACACCCUUCCAGGGCCAACAUCAACAAACUCAAAUUAUGUAUAUCCCUAAGUAGUUGCGUGUUCUAAUCCAGUAGUUUUUUUUCUUUUCCCUCAUAUAAAAGAAAUUAAACAAAAACUUAAGCAGCUUCAGGCACCCUUGGAGUUAAAGUGGAGGAUGCACUGGGCCUACAUUACUUUUACAUAUAGCAGAAUUACUUCUAGAUACUUUUUUUUUUUUAACGUUUUUUCAUUUUUGAGAGAUGGAGAGGGACAGAGCAUGAAUGGGGGAGGUUCAGAAAGAGAGGGAGACAGAAUCUUAAGCAGGCUCCAGGCUGUCAGCACAGAGCCUGAUGCAGGGCUCGAACCCACAGACCGUGAGAUCAUGACCUGAGCUGAAGUUGGACGCUUAACCGACUGAGCCACCCAGGCACCCCCACCUCUAGAUACUUUUGCCUAUCAACUAGAUUGGUCUACUAUUUAAUUACAACCCUCAGUGCAGCAAAAGUGACUUAAAAAAAUCAUACAUUAAAUGUCCUUCUAAAAAGUGCAUACAGUUAUAAGAACAGAAAUAUAAAUAGGUAAUUUACCUGGUUAUUGUAGAAUAUGAUAAAGUGAGUAUUCUCAUAUACUGCUGGUAGACCUGAAACUUUGGGAAAUUAGUUUCACCUCAAAAAAAAAAAAUUCUUUCUCUUUGACAUAGUAAAUUAGGAAGGAGGUUAAGUGCAGCUGGGGGUGGGGAGAGGAUAAGAAAAGAGGAAUGGGAAGGAUUAAAGUCAGGAGACAACUUAUUUUAUUUUGAAAUGGUAGUAACUGGAGAGUAAAGAUAGGGUAGGUAGUCUUUACAAGUACAGUGUCAGAAGUCAAGAAUUUGCAUUGCAGCCCUGAUAUAUAAUGUUUACCUGGCUUUGCACCCUCAGGUAUUAUAAGUAAUCUGUCUGAGUCUCAUUUUCCUUAUAAAUGGUCAUGACAGUACUUUCCUUAGUUGGUUGUUCCGAGAACUAAAUGAUGCAGAGUACAUGAUUUGCUUGCUUUUAUAUAAUAGAUGUGAUACAUGCUCACAAGAUCUAAAAUAUAAAAUUACCAGAUUUUUAUUGGGUGCAAUGCCCAUCCCAAGUUAGUUUAAUUCCAGUUAACUCACUUGGUAUAAAGUACACUGACUUCUUCAGUUAGAGGUUAAUGGACUGAAGGUGUAGUUCUAGUAAUCGGAGCUACGGGCCAAUGAUAAAGAUCAAGAGUACUAUGAUACAAACCAACCUACAGGCUCUCAAUCCCCUUCAGUCCACCUCAAAGCUACAAUGCAGACCUUGAGAUCUCUAUUCCUGGACAUGAAAUAAUAAAAUAGUUCACCUUCAGGUAACUCAAGAAUGCACUGAUUUCUCAGAAGCCAUAGGCAUGACAGUAACUCCUACCCAACUUGGAACCUCAUUAUUUUACUGCUUUGUGGCCAUUAUGUAAGUAAGUACUCCGUUAGAGGAACAGAGAAAUAUUUUCUUUUCUGAUUUGGUUUUUAAGAGUAAAUUCAGAACAGUUUUCCCCUGAAACAGUUCAACACAGAAUAUUAACUAGCAUUAGUUAUAGAUUCUUAGCUUUGUGAAGAGAUGGACUGUCUUUUACUCACCAUUAUAUCCCCAGUGUUCAUAUAGUGCUUAUUACAGACUGGGCUCCCAAUAAAUACAUGUUAAAUAACAAAUACCACAAAGCCUUUGUUCAUUUCAUGAUGGCUGGUUAAACGGGCAGCAUCUGCCUCUCACCUGGUACAUCCCAUAUGAAUUCUCCCUGCUUCACUAUCAAUCCCUAGUCUGUUCUCCAUUCACCAGCAUAAAGGAUCCUUUGCCACAGUACUUUGAGCAGGUCAUUCUAAUGCUCAAAGCCCACCCAAGUUACAGCAUCACAUGAUACAAUCACAAGUCCUUGUCCUGGCAUGAUCUAGCUCCCCGUCUAUCUCUGACUUCCUCUUUAAUCACUCUCUCUCCACCCCACUACCAUACUGGCCACAAGCUCUUUACUGUUCCCUGAAUAUGUCACACUGUUGUCUCAAGACCUAUGUAGUUCUCUUCCUCUGGCUGCAGUGUUCUCCCUUUCCCUUCACCCCUGUUUAUUCUCUGUUCAAAGUGUCCUCAGAGAAGUCUUCCCUGUCUUUUCUAAAACAGUAUCCCAUCUCCUCUCCCAUCACUCAUUUGUUUUUCUUUAUUGCACUUACUGCUAUAUGACUUUAUUUUUUAUUUGUUCAUUUGCCCCCACUAAGCUCCACAAAGGCUGGAUUUUUUUUUUUUUCUUUUUUCUUUAUUGCAGCUUCCCUAGCACCUAGAAGAGUGCCUGGCACAGAGUAAAAGUACUCAGUAAAUAUUUAUUGAAGGAAUAUAUGAAUAACUACCCAAGUUAUUCCCAGGAAAUCCUGAUUUCUGCCUCCAAUUGCUCAUCAGAAGACCUAAUCACAUAAAUCUAAGUACAAAAGGCUAAAUAUUUUUAUAUAAUGUACAUAAAUUCUGUAGAUCCUGACUGAUGGAGUAAAGCUGGCCUCAGAUUUUACUAUCCAGGUCCAAUGUUGAAUAUGCCAGCCGGCUCUAAAGACAACAAAAGUACUAUUAAGAUUAUAAUGUUUUGCACAGUGGCAAUAUCUGAUCUUGUGGCUACUGAUCAUCAGAUGAUAUACAAGAAGGAAGAGCUCACUGUACUAGGAGAUACAGGAGAAGGGUUCUUAGGGACUAGGGUCAGGCCUUCAAGAUAAUCUGGAUUUAGAAAAACUAAGGAGGAAGAUACUAAUGGGAGAAUAACAGUUGAAAAGCGUUUGCAAAGAAGAAAUAAACAUAGCAGAAUCAGUUAUGCAAGGUUAGAGAUAAAGAGCAGUGGAAAAUAAGGUUGGAUGAGUGUGGUGGAGACAAAUUAUGAAAAGCUGUGAAUACUAACAGGACUCUGAAAUGACUUCUUAGGCCAUAGAGAUCAAUUGAAAGCUUUCAAGCAGAGGAAUGAUUGAUGUAUGAAAUAGCAUCUUAACAACUGUUGACCAGUGUGCUGAAGGGACCCAGGCCUGGGAUACAGAGCUCAGUGAGCCUAAAGACAGUAAGACUGACUGGAUUGUCACUCCCAAGGUUCAAUUAACAAACUGAUGAAGGGCUUGCAUGAUACAGUGGUAACAAGAAUGGAUAGAGAUGCUCUGAUCCAAUAAUCAUUUUGAAAGAACAACUCAUUGAAUCUGGGGACUAGGCGUAGGUAAUAAAAGAGAGGGGGUAAAUCAAAGAUGAUGUAUGUAAUUUUAAAUGAUGGCUGUUUGCUUAACUUUUAAGUGUUUUAUUUGGCAUUAGGAUACAACAGGAGCAGGAGAGGGAAUGGAAGCAAGUUAACAGGCUGGCAAUUUCUUUUUUAAAUCAAGAAUGGGGCACCUGGGUAGCUCAGUCAGUUAAGCGUCCGACUUCUGCUCAGGUCAUGAUCUCACAGUCUGUGAGUUCAAGCCCCGCGCUGGGCUCUGUGCUGACAGCUCAGAGCCUGGAGCCUGCUUCGGAUUCUGUGUCUCC